rnacentral:rRNA from 1 species
GAGCCUGAAUCAGCAUGUGUGUUAGUGGAAGCGUCUGGAAAGGCGCGCGAUACAGGGUGACAGCCCCGUAC